rnacentral:rRNA from 1 species
AACGAACGCUGGCGGCGUGCUUAACACAUGCAAGUCGAACGGGAUUAGGGGCUUGCUCCUAAUCUAGUGGCGCACGGGUGAGUAACGCGUGGAUAAUCUGCCUGAUGAUCUGGGAUAACAUUUCGAAAGGGGUGCUAAUACCGGAUAAGCCCACGAGGACUUCGGUUUUUGCGGGAAAAGAGGGGGACCUUCGGGCCUCUUGUCAUCAGAUGAGUCCGCGUACCAUUAGCUAGUUGGUGGGGUAAAGGCCUACCAAGGCGACGAUGGUUAGCUGGUCUGAGAGGAUGAUCAGCCACACUGGAACUGAGACACGGUCCAGACUCCUACGGGAGGCAGCAGUGGGGAAUUUUGCGCAAUGGGGGAAACCCUGACGCAGCAACGCCGCGUGAGUGAUGAAGGCCUUCGGGUCGUAAAGCUCUGUCUAGAGGAAAGAAGUGUGGGGCGGCUAAUAACCGUUUCACUUGACGGUACCUCUGAAGGAAGCACCGGCUAACUCCGUGCCAGCAGCCGCGGUAAUACGGAGGGUGCGAGCGUUGUUCGGAAUUAUUGGGCGUAAAGCGCGUGUAGGCGGUUUCUUAAGUCUGAUGUGAAAGCCCCGGGCCUAACUUGGGAAGUGCAUUGGAUACUGGGAGACUUGAGUACGGGAGAGGGUAGUGGAAUUCCUAGUGUAGGAGUGAAAUCCGUAGAUAUUAGGAGGAACACCGGUGGCGAAGGCGGCUGCCUGGACCGAUACUGACGCUGAGACGCGAAAGCGUGGGUAGCAAACAGGAUUAGAUACCCUGGUAGUCCACGCCGUAAACGAUGAGUACUAGGUGUUGCGGGUAUUGACCCCUGCAGUGCCGCAGCUAACGCAUUAAGUACUCCGCCUGGGAAGUACGGUCGCAAGACUAA